AUCUGCAGCUUGAUGCUGGACAGUGUGCCCAUUUCUGGUGGACCAUUGAUUCAAGGGAUCCUAUUAGGAACAAAAAAUAUGCCUUGAGACAAACAGAUCUCCAUAUGCAGCAGCACUCUAAUCAGUGCCUUACCAGUUGACUCUUAUUCAGGUACCCUUUCUAGUUCUAACAGAUCUAAAAAUUCUGAGAUUUAGCAGUAAUUCUUCUUGUUAAUUAUAUUACCUGCUAAGCUGUUCUAGUAUUCAGGCCUUAAAAGUACUCAUGGGUAAUGAUCUGAUGAACAAACUGCUUGUUCAAGAAAAUUACUAUUGGUUAUUAUGAGACUCUUAUGCUUCUUGGAAGAUAGGUUCGAGUUGUACUUCAGAUUUGCAUGUCCUGUGUUCUGAUCAGUGGCUUACCAAUGCACCUGUAAUCAGGUUUAAUGAGCUCUGUUAUUUGCGGUUCUCCAUUGGUGAUUGGCUGAUAACUUCUGCUAUCCAUAUUAUAAAGUGGUUUUUAAAAUCAGUUACUUUUCAUCUGCCUAGCUUGGGCGCAGUCUGCUGGAUGUUUGAAGUCUUGAUGGGUUAUCAUCUGAUAAUUCUCUUUCAACAAAUAAAUAAUUAACAUUGAAUCUGGGCAUAAGUCAUUCUCUUGUUAACAGGUAAAGCUUCCAAGGCUACCACUAUAUUGCAUCUUCAUUUCAUUCUCUUGUUACCGUACUACUCAUUUUGCUAAAAAAUAUCUUGUGCCUAGUGUAUUAGAUCCUGACCCAUAUGGAAUAGCAUUAUGUAUGAUUUACUGAAGAUAUAAAGAAAAAUUUAGCGAUAUUCAGAUUAAUAACAAGGUGCCCCAGGGUCUUGGUCUCUUGGAUGUCUAGUUGCCUACAUGCCAUGUAAAUA